CCUACGGGAGGCAGCAGUCGAGAGGCUUUGGCAAUGGGGGAAACCCUGACCAAGCGACGCCGCGUGGGUGAUGAAGGCCUUACGGUUGUAAAGCCCUGUCAUGGGGGGAGAAAAGGCGGUGGGUCAAUACCCCGCUGUCCUGACGGUACCCCAAGAGGAAGCUCCGGCCAACUCCGUGCCAGCAGCCGCGGUAAUACGGGGGGAGCGAGCGUUGUUCGGAAUCACUGGGCGUAAAGGGCGCGUAGGCGGUUCGGUAAGUCAAACGUGAAAUGCCUCGGCUCAACCGAGGACCCGCGUAUGAUACUGCCGGGCUAGAGUCCGGAAGAGGAGAGUGGAAUUCCCGGUGUAGCGGUGAAAUGCGUAGAGAUCGGGAGGAACAUCGAUGGCGAAGGCAGCUCUCUGGAUCGACACUGACGCUGAGGGGCGAAAGCGUGGGGAGCAAACAGGAUUAGAUACCCUGGUAGUCCACGCGGUAAACGAUGAGAACUAGACGCUGGGUGGGUGACUGCUCGGUGUCGCAGCUAACGCGUUAAGUUCUCCGCCUGGGGAGUACGGCCGCAAGGUUGAAACUUAAAGGAAUUGACGG
rnacentral:rRNA from 1 species